rnacentral:rRNA from 1 species
UAUGUGCCAGCAGCCGCGGUAAUACAUAGGGUGCAAGCGUUAUCCGGAAUUAUUGGGCGUAAAGGGUUCGUAGGUGGUUUGUUAAGUCUGAUGUUAAAUACUGAAGCUCAACUUCAGCUCGCAUUAGAUACUGACAUACUAGAGUCAUGUAGGGGUUAGCGGAACUCCCUGUGGAGGGGUGAAAUUCGUAGAUAUAGGGAAGAACACCAAUAGCGAAGGCAGCUAACUGGGCAUGUACUGACACUGAGGGACGAAAGCGUGGGGAGCAAACAGGAUUAGAUACCCUGGUAGUCCACGCUGUAAACGAUGCUUGCUUGCUGGUGGCGAAGUCACUAGCGAUAGCUAACGCGUUAAGCAAGCCGCCUGAGGAAUAUGCUCGCAAGAGUGAAACUUAAAGGAAUUGACGGGGACCCGCACAAGCGGUGGAGCAUGUGGUUUAAUUCGAAGUCACACGUAAAACCUUACCCACUCUUGACAUAAUUGGCAAAGCUAUAGAGAUAUAGUGGAGGUUACCCAAUUACAGAUGGUGCAUGGUCGUCGUCAGCUCGUGUCGUGAGAUGUGAUGUUAAGUCAUCGAACGAGCGCAACCCCUGUCUUUAGUUGCUAAUUAUAGGACUCUAAAGAAACUGCCAAGGUAACUUGGAGGAAGGUGGGGAUGACGUCAGAUCAUCAUGCCUCUUACGAGUGGGGCCACACACGUGCUACAAUGGGAACUACAAAGAGAAGCAACACAGCAAUGUUGAGCAAACCUGAAAAAGUUCUCUCAGUUCGGAUUGGAGUCUGCAACUCGACUCCAUGAAGUCGGAAUCGCUAGUAAUCGUAGGUCAGCUAUACUACGGUGAAUACGUUCUCGGGUCUUGUACACACCGCCCGUCACACCAGCGGGAGUUGGUAAUACCCAAAGU